rnacentral:rRNA from 1 species
AACGAACGCUGGCGGCGUGCCUAACACAUGCAAGUCGAACGGAGUAUAUUUUGUAGCAAUACGGGAUAUACUUAGUGGCGGACGGGUGAGUAACACGUAAGUAACCUACCCUGUACACACGGAUAACAUACCGAAAGGUAUGCUAAUACGGGAUAACAUAUUUUGAUGGCAUCAUCGAAAUAUCAAAGCUCCGGCGGUACAGGAUGGACCCGCGUCUGAUUAGCUAGUUGGUGAGGUAAUGGCUCACCAAGGCGACGAUCAGUAGCCGACCUGAGAGGGUGAUCGGCCACAUUGGAACUGAGACACGGUCCAAACUCCUACGGGAGGCUG